UGGGGAAUAUUGGACAAUAGGCGCAAGCCUGAUCCAGCCAUGCCGCGUGAGUGAUGAAGGCCCUAGGGUUGUAAAGCUCUUUCACCGGUGAAGAUAAUGACGGUAACCGGAGAAGAAGCCCCGGCUAACUUCGUGCCAGCAGCCGCGGUAAUACGAAGGGGGCUAGCGUUGUUCGGAUUUACUGGGCGUAAAGCGCACGUAGGCGGACUUUUAAGUCAGGGGUGAAAUCCCGGGGCUCAACCCCGGAACUGCCUUUGAUACUGGAAGUCUUGAGUAUGGUAGAGGUGAGUGGAAUUCCGAGUGUAGAGGUGAAAUUCGUAGAUAUUCGGGGGAACACCAGUGGCGAAGGCGGCUCACUGGACCAUUACUGACGCUGAGGUGCGAAAGCGUGGGGAGCAAACAGG
rnacentral:rRNA from 1 species